UAGUAACUGCGAGUGAAGCGGGAAAAGCUCAAAUUUAAAAUCUGGCGGUCUUUGGCCGUCCGAGUUGUAAUCUAGAGAAGUGAUGCCCGCGCUGGACCGUGUACAAGUCUCCUGGAAUGGAGCGUCAUAGAGGGUGAGAAUCCCGUCUCUGACACGGACUACCAGGGCUUUGUGGUAUGCUCUCAAAGAGUCGAGUUGUUUGGGAAUGCAGCUCUAAAUGGGUGGUAAAUUCCAUCUAAAGCUAAAUAUUGGCGAGAGACCGAUAGCGAACAAGUACCGUGAGGGAAAGAUGAAAAGAACUUUGGAAAGAGAGUUAAACAGUACGUGAAAUUGCUGAAAGGGAAACGCUUGAAGUCAGUCGCGUUAGCCGGGAAUCAGCCUCACUUGUGUGGUGUACUUUCUGGUUGACGGGUCAGCAUCAAUUUUGACUGCUGGAAAAAGGCUUAGGGAAUGUGGCAGCUUCGGCUGUGUUAUAGCCCUUGGUCACAUACAGCGGUUGGGAUUGAGGAACUCAGCACGCCGCAAGGCCGGGUUUCGACCACGUUCGUGCUUAGGAUGCUGGCAUAAUGGCUUUAAGCGACCCGUCUUGAAACACGGACCAAGGAGUCUAACAUGCCUGCGAGUGUUUGGGUGGUAAACCCGAGCGCGUAAUGAAAGUGAAAGUUGAGAUCCCUGUCGUGGGGAGCAUCGACGCCCGGACUUGAACUUUUGUGACGGAUCCGCGGUAGAGCAUGUAUGUUGGGACCCGAAAGAUGGUGAACUAUGCCUGAUAGGGUGAAGCCAGAGGAAACUCUGGUGGAGGCUCGUAGCGAUUCUGACGUGCAAAUCGAUCGUCAAA
rnacentral:rRNA from 1 species